rnacentral:rRNA from 1 species
UACGGAGGGUGCAAGCGUUGUCCGGAUUUAUUGGGUUUAAAGGGUGCGUAGGCGGCUCUUUAAGUCAGCGGUGAAAGUCCAGAGCUUAACUCUGGGAUUGCCAUUGAUACUGAAGAGCUUGAGUAUAGUUGAGGUAGGCGGAAUUGACAGUGUAGCGGUGCAAUGCAUAGAUAUUGUCAAGAACACCGAUUGCGUAGGCAGCUUACUAAGCUAUAACUGACGCUGAGGCACGAAAGUGUGGGGAUCAAACAGG